GGGCGGCUAGCUCAGCUGGGAGAGCACGGCGUUCGCAACGCCGGGGUCGAGGGUUCGAGUCCCUUGCCGUCCACCA
rnacentral:tRNA from 1 species